rnacentral:misc_RNA from 1 species
CUGAGUUAUCCAAAACUCCCAACCCUUUGUGAACUUACCACUGUUGCCUCGGCGAGUUGUGCUACCCUAUAGCUACCCUGUAGCUACCCGGGAACACAUUCCAAGCUCGCCAGAGGACCUACCAACUCUGUUUUAUACUGUAUCUCUGAACUUUAUAACUAAAUAAGUUA